AGUGGACACAGUGUACUUCUCACCCAGAGCAGCCUCAGAGCCCCAGAAACCCGCCAGGACCCGGUGCUGCUGCAGGUUUUGAGGACCACCUCAGUUCCUCCGUCGGUUUCGAACCUCACAUCAACAGCAGACAUGAUCAUCAGACUGGGCAGGCUGACACCUGGAUACUUUCGCCUCCUCCAGAGGCAGGUCGCCGGCGAGGUGCAGACGCAGCCACAAGACCGUGCCGUCAAUCAGAUAGCCAUGAUGCUGGCCAUCAUGGGACUGAGUUUGUCCUACUACAGUGCCAAACAGAUGACGGAGAAGGUCAACGCCCAGCCCGCGCCCUGAGGAGACCCGACUGCUCCGGUCACGGAGACGAUGGACGAACCGACGAGAAGUGAAGGAGGUGGAGCGAGGAGGCCGGAGCGGAGGCACGGCGGUGUCUUUCUGGACCGCGCUUCUCUCACCUCAUAGUCAAAGUCACACUCGGACACUAAAAAAUUUGCAGGACCCCGUCAGUGUAACACGUGCGGCGCCCGCCCCGGGCCUCUGCUUGGUGUUUUCUGUACUUUUCUGUUGUCAGGGAUUAGUUUGGGCGGGUGGGGGGGGUCUCACUCCAGUCGUGGGUUGAUAAACUGGGUGGCUGAUCAAAAUGAAGCGCGCCAACUGGGUCUGAACAUUAGUCGUUAGAAAAGGUACAUGAUCACAAGACGUGGUCAAUGCAGUUCUCAGCUUAAAAAAAAAAAAAAAAGGGGAAAAAACUUACUGUGAAAACUCUCGUCCUGCCUGU